GCACAAUGGGCGCAAGCCUGAUGCGAGCCAUGCCGCGUGUAUGAAGAAGGCCUUCGGGUUGUAAAGACUUUCAGCAGUGAGGAAGUGGGGUAUGGUUAAUAGCAUAUUCAUUUGACGUUAGCUGCAGAAGAAGCACCGGCUAACUCCGUGCCAGCAGCCGCGGUAAUACGGAGGGUGCGAGCGUUAAUCGGAAUUACUGGGCGUAAAGCGCAUGCAGGUGGUUUGUUAAGUCAGAUGUGAAAGCCCGGGGCUCAACCUCGGAAUUGCAUUUGAAACUGGCAAACUAGAGUACUGUAGAGGGGGUAGAAUUUCAGGUGUAGCGGUGAAAUGCGUAGAGAUCUGAAGGAAUACCCGGUGGCGAAGGCGGCCCCCUGGACAGAUACUGACACUCAGAUGCGAAAGCGUGGGGAGCAAACAGGAUUAGAUACCCUGGUAG
rnacentral:rRNA from 1 species